GAUGAACGCUGGCGGCGUGCCUAAUACAUGCAAGUCGAGCGAACGGACGAGAAGCUUGCUUCUCUGAUGUUAGCGGCGGACGGGUGAGUAACACGUGGAUAACCUACCUAUAAGACUGGGAUAACUUCGGGAAACCGGAGCUAAUACCGGAUAAUAUUUUGAACCGCAUGGUUCAAAAGUGAAAGACGGUCUUGCUGUCACUUAUAGAUGGAUCCGCGCUGCAUUAGCUAGUUGGUAAGGUAACGGCUUACCAAGGCAACGAUGCAUAGCCGACCUGAGAGGGUGAUCGGCCACACUGGAACUGAGACACGGUCCAGACUCCUACGGGAGGCAGCAGUAGGGAAUCUUCCGCAAUGGGCGAAAGCCUGACGGAGCAACGCCGCGUGAGUGAUGAAGGUCUUCGGAUCGUAAAACUCUGUUAUUAGGGAAGAACAUAUGUGUAAGUAAAUGUGCACAGCUUGACGGUACCUAAUGAGAAAGCCACGGCUAACUACGUG
rnacentral:rRNA from 1 species